rnacentral:rRNA from 1 species
GACGAACGCUGGCGGCGUGCCUAAUACAUGCAAGUCGAGCGAGCGGCGGACGGGUGAGUAAUGUCUGGGAAACUGCCUGAUGGAGGGGGAUAACUACUGGAAACGGUAGCUAAUACCGCAUACCAUCAGAUGUGCCCAGAUGGGAUUAGCUAGUAGGUGGGGGAAUGGCUCACCUAGGCGACGAUCCCUAGCUGGUCUGAGAGGAGGACCAGUGACACGGGAACUGGGACACGGUACAGAGUCCUACGGGAGGCAGCAGGGGGGAAUAGUGCACAAUGGGCGAAAGCCUGAAGCAGCCAUGCCGGGUGUGUGAAGAAGGCCUGCGGGUUGUAAAGCACUUUCAGCGAGGAGGCGUUACUCGCAGAAGAAGCACCGGCUAACUCCGUGCCAGCAGCCGCGGUAAUAC